rnacentral:rRNA from 1 species
UACAGAGGGGGCAAGCGUUGUCCGGAAUCACUGGGCGUAAAGGGCGCGUAGGCGGCUCGGUAAGUAGGGGGUGAAAUCCUGCGGCUCAACCGCAGGGCUGCCUUCUAAACUGUCGAGCUCGAGCACGGUAGAGGCAGAUGGAAUUCCCGGUGUAGCGGUGGAAUGCGUAGAGAUCGGGAAGAACACCGAUUGCGAAGGCAGCUCGCUGGGACGUCACUGACGCUGAGACGCGAAAGCGUGGGGAGCAAACAGG